GCCACAUGAUGUGAUGUAGAUUGCAUGAGCACUCUGUGUGAAGAUGACCUGCUAUCUAUCACCCAUGACUGAUGGCU